GUUGGAUGGCACAGUGGGUGCGCCUCACACAGCCUCAGAGCCUGCUUUGUCUCCCGUUUCCAUUUGCUCACUCCCAUGUGGACUCGGCCAGUGGCAUCCUGAGUUUCCACUAAUAACAGAGGCUGAGAAGCCGCAUAUUAGAGGCAGUGCUGGACUCUGCGAUUGCCCGGAGGUGGGCCCCGGGGACUCUGCCCCGCUGGGCCUCGUCUCCUCCUGUGCCCCCCACCCGCUGACAGGAGGGAACAGGAGACGCCCACAGGGAGGGAAGCCGAGUGAAAUGUGAAGAGGUGUCUGAAAGCCCAGAGGAAACCGGCAGGCCCUUCCAGAAGUUCUAUUUGCGGGAUUGUUUUGCCAGGCUGCUAUCGCAUACCACCUCUGUCUGCUGCCUCAAUUUGCUUGGUGAAAAUUGUCUGAAUGAUGGAGCAGGAGUUCCAGAUGACCCCCCUCACCCCCACUGGCACAAGAUCUCUAAGAGCAUUGAAAGAAAUAUGAUUUACAAGAAAAUAAAUUGGAAGUGAAGCCUAGCACUCACUUGCUUUUGACUCUGGAUAAGCUUUAUGUACCUAUGAACCUCAGCUUUCAUCUCUGUAUAGUUGGAUUAAUAAUACUGCAGUGCAUACAGUUAGGCUGAACUGUAAGUAACAGUACUGAACUCAUCAGCUUAAAGCACUCAUGUGAAAGACUCACGAGGC
ensembl:lncRNA